rnacentral:rRNA from 1 species
ACCUUCGGGCCUCAUGCCAUCAGAUGUGCCCAGAUGGGAUUAGCUAGUAGGUGGGGUAACGGCUCACCUAGGCGACGAUCCCUAGCUGGUCUGAGAGGAUGACCAGCCACACUGGAACUGAGACACGGUCCAGACUCCUACGGGAGGCAGCAGUGGGGAAUAUUGCACAAUGGGCGCAAGCCUGAUGCAGCCAUGCCGCGUGUGUGAAGAAGGCCUUCGGGUUGUAAAGCACUUUCAGCGGGGAGGAAGGCGUUAAGGUUAAUAACCUUGGCGAUUGACGUUACCCGCAGAAGAAGCACCGGCUAACUCCGUGCCAGCAGCCGCGGUAAUACGGAGGGUGCAAGCGUUAAUCGGAAUUACUGGGCGUAAAGCGCACGCAGGCGGUCUGUCAAGUCGGAUGUGAAAUCCCCGGGCUCAACCUGGGAACUGCAUUCGAAACUGGCAGGCUAGAGUCUUGUAGAGGGGGGUAGAAUUCCAGGUGUAGCGGUGAAAUGCGUAGAGAUCUGGAGGAAUACCGGUGGCGAAGGCGGCCCCCUGGACAAAGACUGACGCUCAGGUGCGAAAGCGUGGGGAGCAAACAGGAUUAGAUACCCUGGUAGUCCACGCCGUAAACGAUGUCGAUUUGGAGGUUGUGCCCUUGAGGCGUGGCUUCCGGAGCUAACGCGUUAAAUCGACCGCCUGGGGAGUACGGCCGCAAGGUUAAAACUCAAAUGAAUUGACGGGGGCCCGCACAAGCGGUGGAGCAUGUGGUUUAAUUCGAUGCAACGCGAAGAACCUUACCUGGUCUUGACAUCCACAGAACUUUCCAGAGAUGGAUUGGUGCCUUCGGGAACUGUGAGACAGGUGCUGCAUGGCUGUCGUCAGCUCGUGUUGUGAAAUGUUGGGUUAAGUCCCGCAACGAGCGCAACCCUUAUCCUUUGUUGCCAGCGGUUCGGCCGGGAACUCAAAGGAGACUGCCAGUGAUAAACUGGAGGAAGGUGGGGAUGACGUCAAGUCAUCAUGGCCCUUACGACCAGGGCUACACACGUGCUACAAUGGCAUAUACAAAGAGAAGCGACCUCGCGAGAGCAAGCGGACCUCAUAAAGUAUGUCGUAGUCCGGAUUGGAGUCUGCAACUCGACUCCAUGAAGUCGGAAUCGCUAGUAAUCGUAGAUCAGAAUGCUACGGUGAAUACGUUCCCGGGCCUUGUACACACCGCCCGUCACACCAUGGGAGUGGGUUGCAAAAGAAGUAGGUAGCUUAACCUUCGGGAGGGCGCUUACCACUUUGUGAUUCAUGACUGGGGUGAAGUCGUAACAAGGUAACCGUAGGGGAACCUGCGGUUGGAUCACCUCCUU